GUUAAUCUCUGGCCCAUUAGUGUUGGAGAGUUAUUUUGUAUUGGGCCGAGUAUGAUGUUAAUAAUACAUUUCUCCUUAACCCAUUUAAUGUUUCAGUUUACAUAAACCGACUGAACAUAAAAAAAAAAAAAAACAAUUUGGACAGUUUUUCAUUUCAGAAGUCAGAACAGUCGUUGUCUCAUCAAAAAAAAAAAAAACACCCACCGAUCAAAAUUUUCAUACUCGAUCGAUCUAAGUCUAAUUUACGAAAUCUCAUGUAAUUCUCUAUUUCUUCUCCGUUUUGUAAAUUGUGAAUUCUUUGAAGAGUGUUCUUGGCGAAGCAACAUCAGGAAGCCGGAUUUUCUAUGGGUAAAGCUUCACUUGGAGCAACAUAAGAAUAUGGAGGCUAUCAAAUUUGUUCAUUGGAGCAAUGCCUCAAAUCUAUAUGUGAAAGGAUAUAUGCAAAACAUUCAAAGCAUUGAUUGAUAAAAAUCCGCGAAUAUCAUUUGGAUCAGAUACGGGUUGAACGAAUCCUAAAGCCCAUGACUUACGAAGAUCCGCGUGUUUUACCGAAUUACUAUGGGUUUAGAUCCGACCCGUAACCCAGGAUCCGCGUGUCAAUUGACAGCAAAGUUGCCAUUUUACCCUUCCACGUAAUCUUUUGAUUACUCUUUGAAUGUAAUUAUCCUAAUGGCAUUCCCUUGUAAUUUUUUACACUUUUUAAGGUUAUUUUUCAGAGAAUGCUUCCCAAUUAAUAGUAUAGAUGAAGGAAUCUGAAACUGAUUUUAUGUGUAAAUUAUAGCAAUCAAAAUCCUACUUUCUACUCAA